rnacentral:rRNA from 1 species
AUUGAACGCUGGCGGCAGGCCUAACACAUGCAAGUCGAGCGGAUGAAGGGAGCUUGCUCCUGGAUUCAGCGGCGGACAGGUGAGUAAUGCCUAGGAAUCUGCCUGGUAGUGGGGGAUAACGUCCGGAAACGGGCGCUAAUACCGCAUACGUCCUGAGGGAGAAAGUGGGGGAUCUUCGGACCUCACGCUAUCAGAUGAGCCUAGGUCGGAUUAGCUAGUUGGUGGGGUAAAGGCCUACCAAGGCGACGAUCCGUAACUGGUCUGAGGGGAUGAUCAGUCACACUGGAACUGAGACACGGUCCAGACUCCUACGGGAGGCAGCAGUGGGGAAUAUUGGACAAUGGGCGAAAGCCUGAUCCAGCCAUGCCGCGUGUGUGAAGAAGGUCUUCGGAUUGUAAAGCACUUUAAGUUGGGAGGAAGGGCAGUAAGUUAAUACCUUGCUGUUUUGACGUUACCAACAGAAUAAGCACCGGCUAACUUCGUG